UACGUAGGGUGCAAGCGUUGUCCGGAAUUAUUGGGCGUAAAGAGCUCGUAGGCGGUCUGUCGCGUCGGAUGUGAAAACCCAGGGCUCAACCCUGGGCCUGCAUUCGAUACGGGCAGACUAGAGUUCGGUAGGGGAGACUGGAAUUCCUGGUGUAGCGGUGAAAUGCGCAGAUAUCAGGAGGAACACCGAUGGCGAAGGCAGCCUCCUGGGCCAAUACUGACGCUCAUGCACGAAAGCGUGGGGAGCAAACAGG
rnacentral:rRNA from 1 species